GUUUCUAUGAAAACGAGUUUCAAACAUAAGAGCCGUUGGAUAUAUUUAGCGUAUCGGAUAGUAUGACUUAUUUUUAUCACUGUGGGUAACAAACAGCCUGGCGUACUGUGAGGCAAGACCUGGAUCCGCGGACAGUGUUACUUUGUGAAGGAACGUAGACCUAUUCUGCAGUUGUGCCACAAUGAACUCCAGGAUAUUCUGCUUGGUUGUCAUGAGUGUUAGUGUAAUUUGUAAGUGUACUGGUCUACCAUCUCGCCGUACGACGUAUCCGACGACUCCCGGGCCCCCCACCACAACAGCCGAGUGUAAAACAGGGGAUUCCACACAACGCAAUUGCUAUGCCUUUUACUGUUACAACGGGCGUUGGCAGCCGUUUGAAUUUAUUAAAAGCGAACAUUGCUGCAAAACGCAUGUCCCUCCACAUCCAAUGUGCUAUGAGAUCUUCCCAGAACUUGGAAGUACGCCAUCCUGGAUUGGUUAGAAAAGGUGUGUGUAUGUAUCUAUUAAGAGAUAACACAUAAUCACGGUUUGCUUAAUAAAACGAAUAUUCAAUUCUC